rnacentral:rRNA from 1 species
GUCGAGCGGACAGAUGGGAGCUUGCUCCCUGAUGUUAGCGGCGGACGGGUGAGUAACACGUGGGUAACCUGCCUGUAAGACUGGGAUAACUCCGGGAAACCGGGGCUAAUACCGGAUGGUUGUCUGAACCGCAUGGUUCAGACAUAAAAGGUGGCUUCGGCUACCACUUACAGAUGGACCCGCGGCGCAUUAGCUAGUUGGUGAGGUAACGGCUCACCAAGGCGACGAUGCGUAGCCGACCUGAGAGGGUGAUCGGCCACACUGGGACUGAGACACGGCCCAGACUCCUACGGGAGGCAGCAGUAGGGAAUCUUCCGCAAUGGACGAAAGUCUGACGGAGCAACGCCGCGUGAGUGAUGAAGGUUUUCGGAUCGUAAAGCUCUGUUGUUAGGGAAGAACAAGUGCCGUUCAAAUAGGGCGGCACCUUGACGGUACCUAACCAGAAAGCCACGGCUAACUACGUGCCAGCAGCCGCGGUAAUACGUAGGUGGCAAGCGUUGUCCGGAAUUAUUGGGCGUAAAGGGCUCGCAGGCGGUUUCUUAAGUCUGAUGUGAAAGCCCCCGGCUCAACCGGGGAGGGUCAUUGGAAACUGGGGAACUUGAGUGCAGAAGAGGAGAGUGGAAUUCCACGUGUAGCGGUGAAAUGCGUAGAGAUGUGGAGGAACACCAGUGGCGAAGGCGACUCUCUGGUCUGUAACUGACGCUGAGGAGCGAAAGCGUGGGGAGCGAACAGGAUUAGAUACCCUGGUAGUCCACGCCGUAAACGAUGAGUGCUAAGUGUUAGGGGGUUUCCGCCCCUUAGUGCUGCAGCUAACGCAUUAAGCACUCC